UUCAGCUUGAGUAACAGAUUUUAUCCGAGAUGGAAGUUUCUAACAGUUCCGAUCGGUUGAAAACGAAAUAUGGAUGGAGAAGAAGCUGCCAUAGAAGGUGAACUGGUCGAUGCUGUGAAUGGAGCAUUUCCAGGAAGUGUAUACAACAAAACAUUCAUGCGAAUGACAGCGACGAGCCGGGCGAAGAGAAGGAUUUCCGAACGAAGAAGUAUAAAGCGGAUCAGGAAUGAUGCGAAGGAUUUUAAACUUUCUAUACCGCAACCAGAGCUGAUAUCACUUACGUAUCAUUAUCGUUGAAUGAUUACGGUAUCGUUGAUCACGGGAGCAACGAGGGGAAGGGCCUCCAUGUCCCUGCCAAUUGACGCAUGCCAAAAACCACAACGAAAACGAACCGAAUCACUAAUAGCACAAAAAUUAUCAUAACAUUGGGACAAUCAUGAGAAAGUCCAGCAGCGGGAAACUCUAAGUUGACUGUGGCAAUGUUGGCUGAUGCAAUGGCAGUCGCGUCGAAGAAAACGAGUCACAUACAUUUUGGGGAUUUAGCCGAGGACCCAACAUCAACACGGUACACAACUUUGCUAUCCAAAGCCGUGGAUUUCCAGCGAAUGUUAUUACACCAAAAAAAGAACGUCGAAACGAGAUAAUUAUCAUCAUAAGAAAAAAUAAUUUUCAAUAAAUAAAUAUGGAAAAAAUUA